rnacentral:rRNA from 1 species
AGUGAACGCCGGCGGUAGGCCUAACACAUGCAAGUCGAACGGCAGCACAGGAGAGCUUGCUCUCUGGGUGGCGAGUGGCGGACGGGUGAGGAAUACAUCGGAAUCUACUCUGUCGUGGGGGAUAACGUAGGGAAACUUACGCUAAUACCGCAUACGACCUACGGGUGAAAGCAGGGGAUCUUCGGACCUUGCGCGAUUGAAUGAGCCGAUGUCGGAUUAGCUAGUUGGCGGGGUAAAGGCCCACCAAGGCGACGAUCCGUAGCUGGUCUGAGAGGAUGAUCCGCCACACUGGAAAUGAGACACGGUCCAGACUCCUACGUGAGGCAGCAGUGGGGAAUAUUGGACAAUGGGCGCAAGCCUGAUCCAGCCAUACCGCGUGGGUGAAGAAGGCCUUCGGGUUGUAAAGCCCUUUUGUUGGGAAAGAAAUCCAGCUGGCUAAUACCCGGUUGGGAUGACGGUACCCAAAGAAUAAGCACCGGCUAACUUCGUGCCAGCCGCCGCGGUAA